GGUAGGCUCUGGGUCACCUCCCACCCGUGUUUAUUUUACCUUGUUGCUUCGGCGGGCCCGCCUUAACUGGCCGCCGGGGGGCUUACGCCCCCGGGCCCGCGCCCGCCGAAGACACCCUCGAACUCUGUCUGAAGAUUGUAGUCUGAGUGAAAAUAUAAAUUAUUUAAAACUUUCAACAACGGAUCUCUUGGUUCCGGCAUCGAUGAAGAACGCAGCGAAAUGCGAUACGUAAUGUGAAUUGCAAAUUCAGUGAAUCAUCGAGUCUUUGAACGCACAUUGCGCCCCCUGGUAUUCCGGGGGGCAUGCCUGUCCGAGCGUCAUUGCUGCCCUCAAGCACGGCUUGUGUGUUGGGCCCCGUCCUCCGAUCCCGGGGGACGGGCCCGAAAGGCAGCGGCGGCACCGCGUCCGGUCCUCGAGCGUAUGGGGCUUUGUCACCCGCUCUGUAGGCCCGGCCGGCGCUUGCCGAUCAACCCAAAUUUUUUAUCCAGGUUGACCUCGGAUCAGGUAGGGAUACCCGCUGAACUUAAGCAUAUCAUGGAGACGGAGGAA
rnacentral:rRNA from 1 species